AUGAACGCUGGCGGCGUGCCUAAUCCGUGCAAGUCGAGCGAACAGACGAGGAGCUUGCUCCUCUGACGUUAGCGGCGGACGGGUGAGUAACACGUGGAUAACCUACCUAUAAGACUGGGAUAACUUCGGGAAACCGGAGCUAAUACCGGAUAAUAUAUUGAACCGCAUGGUUCAAUAGUGAAAGACGGUUUUGCUGUCACUUAUAGAUGGAUCCGCGCCGCAUUAGCUAGUUGGUAAGGUAACGGCUUACCAAGGCAACGAUGCGUAGCCGACCUGAGAGGGUGAUCGGCCACACUGGAACUGAGACACGGUCCAGACUCCUACGGGAUGCAGCAGUAGGGAAUCUUCCGCAAUGGGCGAAAGCCUGACGGAGCAACGCCGCGUGAGUGAUGAAGGUCUUCGGAUCGUAAAACUCUGUUAUUAGGGAAGAACAAAUGUGUAAGUAACUAUGCACGUCUUGACGGUACCUAAUCAGAAAGCCACGGCUAACUACGUG
rnacentral:rRNA from 1 species